GACGAACGCUGGCGGCGUGCCUAAUACAUGCAAGUUGAGCGCUGAAGGUUGGUACUUGUACCAACUGGAUGAGCAGCGAACGGGUGAGUAACGCGUGGGGAAUCUGCCUUUGAGCGGGGGACAACAUUUGGAAACGAAUGCUAAUACCGCAUAAAAACUUUAAACACAAGUUUUAAGUUUGAAAGAUGCAAUUGCAUCACUCAAAGAUGAUCCCGCGUUGUAUUAGCUAGUUGGUGAGGUAAAGGCUCACCAAGGCGAUGAUACAUAGCCGACCUGAGAGGGUGGUCGGCCACAUUGGGACUGAGACACGGCCCAAACUCCUACGGGAGGCAGCAGUAGGGAAUCUUCGGCAAUGGACGAAAGUCUGACCGAGCAACGCCGCGUGAGUGAAGAAGGUUUUCGGGUCGUAAAACUCUGUUGGUAGAGAAGAACGUUGGUGAGAGUGGAAAGCUCAUCAAGUGACGGUAACUACCCAGAAAGGGACGGCUAACUACGUG
rnacentral:rRNA from 1 species